rnacentral:rRNA from 2 species
UACGGAGGGGGCUAGCGUUGUUCGGAAUUACUGGGCGUAAAGCGCACGUAGGCGGAUCAGUCAGUUAGAGGUGAAAGCCCAGGGCUCAACCCUGGAACUGCCUUUAAUACUGCUGGUCUGGAGUCCGAGAGAGGUGAGUGGAAUUCCGAGUGUAGAGGUGAAAUUCGUAGAUAUUCGGAGGAACACCAGUGGCGAAGGCGGCUCACUGGCUCGGUACUGACGCUGAGGUGCGAAAGCGUGGGGAGCAAACAGG